rnacentral:rRNA from 1 species
AUUGAACGCUGGCGGCAGGCCUAACACAUGCAAGUCGAGCGAGCGGCGGACGGGUGAGUAAUGUCUGGGAAACUGCCUGAUGGAGGGGGAUAACUACUGGAAACGGUAGCUAAUACCGCAUACCAUCAGAUUUGCCCAGAUUGGAUUAGCUUGUAGGUGGGGUAAUGGCUCACCUAGGCGACGAUCCCUAGCUGGUCUGAGAGGAUGACCAGCCACACUGGAACUGAGACACGGUCCAGACUCCUACGGGAGGAAGCAGUGGGGAAUAUUACACAGUGGGCGCAAGCCUGAUGCAGCAAUGCCGCGUGUGUGAAGAAGGCGUUCGGGGUGUAAAGCACUUUGGGCGGGGAGGCGUUACCCGCAGAGGAAGCACCGGCUAACUCCGUGCCAGCAGCCGCGGUAAUUC